CCUACGGGAGGCAGCAGUGAGGAAUAUUGGUCAAUGGGCGGGAGCCUGAACCAGCCAAGUCGCGUGAGGGAAGAAGGUACUGAGUAUUGUAAACCUCUUUUGCCAGGGGACAAAGGCGGCCACGGGUGGCCGUAAGAGGGUACCUGGAGAAAAAGCAUCGGCUAACUCCGUGCCAGCAGCCGCGGUAAUACGGAGGGUGCAAGCGUUACUCGGAAUCACUGGGCGUAAAGAGUGCGCAGGCGGGCUUGUAAGUCAGAUGUGAAAUCCUGUAGCUUAACUACAGAACUGCAUUUGAAACUAUGAGUCUAGAGUGUGGGAGAGGUAGGUGGAAUUCUUGGUGUAGGGGUAAAAUCCGUAGAUAUCAAGAGGAAUACUCAUUGCGAAGGCGACCUACUGGAACAUUACUGACGCUCAUGCACGAAAGCGUGGGGAGCAAACAGGAUUAGAUACCCGAGUAGUC
rnacentral:rRNA from 1 species